UAAGUCCUAACGAGCUCGCUGUCGGCGCGUUAUCGGGCCGAGAGACAUGCGAUCAACGAGCUUUCGAAGGAUAAGCCUACCAAGAAGGUAGAAGUAGAAGUUACGAAAGAGUCGAAAAAAAGAAGGGAAAAAAUUCUUUGACUUCGCCACCGGCGGUAAAUUAUCUCUCGAAGUCUGAUCAGAACAACACGGUGGCUCGUGUACCUGUGCCAUCAACGUGAAAUUUAUGUCCUUUUGUCUACCCUGCAGUCCUUCUGUAUAUUUAUUUCUUGAUCGUUCGAUUGGAGAAAAUAAUGCGAAAGCUAUAGACGUUUAUCGGUUGAACAUUUUGGUGAUUCGUUUAGAUAUAGUAAUAAGUUAAUCUAAAGAUUCACUGACUAUAACAUUAAAAAAUUGUGUUGCAUCGAUCAAGUAUGAGAAAGUUAAGGAAUCCGGAAGUGAGUGGAAGCACCUUGCAAUGUAUAAGGGGUUGAGAAAGAGGGUUGUCAGAGUCUCUUAAAAGUCAGUGAAUCCAUCUACGAAGGACCCUAGUGCGAGGGUGCAGGGGUUGGUACUAGGUGUUCGACCAAAUCGGGGGUUGUGCACCCCCAGAUCGGUAGCGCGUGUCCUCUUCAAUGGAGUAGUCCACCGCUAUUGCCAAGAGGUACCCCAUCUAAAAGGGGUUAAAUGCUCUUUUUUUUUCCCCGCGACGCGCCGUCAAGGUGUUGACCGCCCCUCACGACGAAAAAUCAACGUCAACGGAGGGAACCCGAAGUGGCCCCGAUUAGGAAUCGUUUCGUGACAACGGAAUAAAAACACACGGUAAAGACGAUACGUGAAGUAUACAAUUUGAAGCAAUAGAUUCGAGAGAAGAGAUAUAGAAAUCGAGAGGUUAUUAUAUAGUUGUGUAAUCGAUUGCAUAAGAUGUUUAGAGUGUUAGAGAGGGAAAGAGGGAGAGAAUGGGUAAAUUAAUCGUACUCCAUAGGUAGAAAGUAUGAGCACGAAAAGAUACAAGAAAUAUAUAAAAAGAUGAAAGAAUGGAAUGUGAAUGUCCUCGGGAGAGUGAAGACCGAGCAUCGAAGAUCAAGAGAAAAUGAAAGAGAAAGAGAGGGUAGCAGGGGUGAUUUUUCAUUUUUCGAUGCCACGAAACACCGACAAUGGACGCGUGUCACGACGGUAGCAGCUGCUUUCGCCACUGUGUUUAGCCCGCGCACAUGGCACAUAGAGACUCGCCGCCAUCGCAGCAAGAUCGCAUAUCGUAAGAUCGAAGUUGCGCAGCUUUAGCCGUAUUUGAAUUGGUCGGGAAUGUGUUGUUCGCAUUUGAAAUA